CGCUGGCGGUGUGCCUCAUACAUGCAAGUCGAACGAUAAGGUCUCUUCGGAGAUACAUAAGUGGCGGACGGGUGAGUACAACAUAGGAAAUCUGCCCUAAACUGGGGGACAACAGAGGGAAACUCCUGCUAAUACCCCAUACGAGCUAGCUUGAAAUAGCUAUCUUGAAAGCUCCGGCGGUUUAGGAUGAGCCUGUGCCUGAUUAGCUAGUUGGUGGUGUAAUGGACUACCAAGGCGACGAUCAGUAGCUGGUUUGAGAGGAUGAUCAGCCACAAUGGGACUGAGACACGGCCCAUACUCCUACGGGAGGCAGCAGUAGGGAAUUUUGCGCAAUGGGGGAAACCCUGACGCAGCAACACCGCGUGAAUGUUAAGCCCUUCGGGGUGUAAAGUUCUGUCAGUAGGGAAGAACAAAUGACUGUACCUACAAAGGAAGCACCGGCUAACUCCGUGCCAGCAGCCGC
rnacentral:rRNA from 1 species